GGAGAAGUCGCAUAGUGGACUAGUGCGUACGCCUGGAAAGCGUAUAAUUCCGAAAGGAAUUCGCGGGUUCGAAUCCCGCCUUCUCCGCCA
rnacentral:tRNA from 1 species